rnacentral:lncRNA from 1 species
GAGCGCGGGGGCCGGCCGUGAGGAGCGCUGGAGCUGCCGGUAGGGAACAUGUCGGAGUCCGAGCCGGGCAGAAAGUGGGACCGGUGUAUGGCCGACGCGUUAGUGAAGCUAGGUACUGGUUUUGGAUUAGGAAUGGUUUUCUCCCUCACCUUCUUUAAGAGAAGAAAGUGGCCAUUAGCCUUUGGUUCUGGCGUGGGACUGGGGAUGGCCUACUCCAACUGUCAGCAUGACUUUCAGGCUCCAUAUCUUCUACAUGGAAAAUAUGUCAAAUGUUCCAAGCUGAGUUGUGCUGGAGGACGGAUCAGAGGAGCAGUGACUUAUGCUGAGAACAUCCCAGCGGGAGAAAAGAGAAGCCUCAUUUAUUCCUCAGGAAUACUGAAGUGCCCUGGAGUGCGCUGACGUCCUGUGACAGUGCCAUCAGCAACGCUUUCAACUCCAGCCACUGUUUAUGUGUUUGAAACCAAGUCUGUUGCUUUUGUAUCAUCUCUUUGGAAAUUGUAAGGAGGUCUUAAAUAAAUGAGAAACAGGAAGCCCGAUGCAAGGCCUGUAUUCCUUUAUGUUGCAGAAGGCUUCUCUUUGAACGGCCUAGCUGUGGCCUCU